rnacentral:rRNA from 1 species
AAACUAACAAGGAUUCCCCUAGUAGCGGCGAGCGAAGCGGGAAAAGCUCAAAUUUGUAAUCUGGCGUCUACGACGUCCGAGUUGUAAUCUCGAGAAGUGUUUUCCGUGAUAGACCGCAUACAAGUCUCUUGGAACAGAGCGUCAUAGUGGUGAGAACCCAGUACACGAUGCGGAUGCCUAUUACUUUGUGAUACACUUUCGAAGAGUCGAGUUGUUUGGGAAUGCAGCUCAAAUUGGGUGGUAAAUUCCAUCUAAAGCUAAAUAUUGGCGAGAGACCGAUAGCGAACAAGUACCGUGAGGGAAAGAUGAAAAGCACUUUGGAAAGAGAGUUAACAGUACGUGAAAUUGUUGGAAGGGAAACACAUGCAGCCAGACUUGCUAUUCGGGGCAACUCGAUUGGCAGGCCCGCAUCAGUUUUUCGGGGCGGAAAAGCAUAGAGAGAAGGUAGCAAUUUCGGUUGUGUUAUAGCUCUUUAUUGGAUUCGCCCUGGGGGACUGAGGAACGCAGCGUGCUUUUAGCAUAAGCUUCGGCUUAUCCACGCUUAGGAUGCGGGUGUAAUGGCUGUAUAUGACC